rnacentral:rRNA from 1 species
UGUGUUCCUGAGCCUUGUACACACCGCCCGUCAAGCCACGAAAGGGAGGGACGUCCGAAGCCGCACUCCGGUGCGUCGAAGACGGACUUUCUGAUUGGGACU